rnacentral:rRNA from 1 species
AUUGAACGCUGGCGGCAUGCCUUACACAUGCAAGUCGAACGGCAGCAUGAUCUAGCUUGCUAGAUUGAUGGCGAGUGGCGAACGGGUGAGUAAUACAUCGGAACGUGCCCUGUAGUGGGGGAUAACUAGUCGAAAGAUUAGCUACUACCGCAUACGACCUGAGGGUGAAAGUGGGGGACCGCAAGGCCUCAUGCUAUAGGAGCGGCCGAUGUCUGAUUAGCUAGUUGGUGGGGUAAAGGCCCACCAAGGCGACGAUCAGUAGCUGGUCUGAGAGGACGAUCAGCCACACUGGAACUGAGACACGGCCCAGACUCCUACGGGAGGCAGCAGUGGGGAAUUUUGGACAAUGGGGGCAACCCUGAUCCAGCAAUGCCGCGUGUGUGAAGAAGGCCUUCGGGUUGUAAAGCACUUUUGUCCGGAAAGAAAUGGCACUUACUAAUAUUAGGUGUGGAUGACGGUACCGGAAGAAUAAGGACCGGCUAACUACGUG